rnacentral:rRNA from 1 species
CAAUGGGCGAAAGCCUGACGCAGCAACGCCGUGUGGGGGAUGAAGGUCUUCGGAUUGUAAACCUCUGUCAGGAGGGAAGAAGUGGUAUUUGUCUAAUAGGCAGGUACUUUGACGGUACCUCCAGAGGAAGCACCGGCUAACUCCGUGCCAGCAGCCGCGGUAAUACGGAGGGUGCAAGCGUUACUCGGAAUCACUGGGCGUAAAGGACGCGUAGGCGGGCUUGUAAGUCAGGUGUGAAAUCCUACAGCUUAACUGUAGAACUGCACUUGAAACGACGAGCCUAGAGUAUGGGAGGGGGGGAUGGAAUUAGUGGUGUAGGGGUAAAAUCCGUAGAUAUCACUAGGAAUACCUAAAGCGAAGGCGAUCUCCUGGAACAUAACUGACGCUAAGGCGUGAAAGCGUGGGGAGCAAACAGGAUUAGAUACCCCCGUAGUC